CUUUUGCAGCCUGGGGGACCAGGGCUUCCUCCCACAGCGUUCUCGGCAAUAUCCGCUGCUCCAUCUCUGCCUCUUCUUGGCUGAGGUCCACAACUACCAAAGCCAGAUGUCUGAAGAAUUAAACGAUACUUCAGGCUCUUCAAGAAUCAGCUGGGGAGCUGACUGGAGUGGACGCUCUCCAUGCCGGGGGGACCCUUGAGCCUUGUUUGGCGUGGUGCUCCUGCUGACUGAGCAAACCGCUGUCUUACCCCUGUUUCCACGGUGUGACCUUCAGAGUAGUAGCCUGUGAAAGCCCUGAAGACCUUGACUAUCAGGAGUCCGCCAGUUUGAAGAACAAUAAAGAGCAGCAAAUCGCCACCCACGGUCAGGACAACAGCAGCUCCCACCUGGGGUCUUCGACUCAGAUGUGAUCACUUCCCUUGCCAAGAGACUACAAAUGCUGGCAUUGUCAGCAAACAAGAAGACUUUCAAGGCUUCAGAUGGGCUGCUUUCCCUCCAGAAAUUAUACCACAACUUCUCUUUAUGUUAUUAAUAAUGAUAAAUGCUAACAUAUUGAUAUGAAGUGAUGCUAUGUCAUUGAUAUGUAUAUAUGAAAAUAUCUCAUUCAGUCUUUACAACACCCCGAGGAAGAAACUAUUAUUCCUGCUUGCAGAAAAUGAGACUUAGAAGAGGUGAGUCACUUGCUCCAUGUUGCCCAGCAGUAAAGGGGCAGGGGACAUUGUCGCACCCAAUCCAUAGACCCCAUGGCUUUUGAUCUACACCAUGUGGUUUAGCCUCUUCUCUUGACCCCAACAACCAAAACCCCAUUAAUGUAACUGGGGGUCCCCAGUACCCCUUUCUUCUCUCCAUGUGGCCUCCUGAUUCCUAAAUGUCUAUUCUGAGGUACCCUCUACUCUGCUAGACCAUCCAUCCCACUUAGCAGGAACUGCGCACAUCAUGUGGUUUUGUAUAUGUUCUUUCAGCAUUGUCAGGUCUUAUUUUAUAAUUUAACUUCUCCUGUGUAUGUUUUCUUCCCAGUGUUAGAGUCUCAUGGGAAGGGGGUGUCAUGCAUCAUGCAUAUUGUAAUUUAUCACUUUUCCUAGCAUAAUAGUAGGCCUAGAAUAAGCCCCAUAAAACCUGU